rnacentral:tRNA from 1 species
UUCAAUGUGGCAGAAUAGUGCGAUGAAUUUAAGAUUCAUAUAUAAAGAUUAAUCUUUCAUUGAAA